CCAAACACUCAGCCCCCUCUCCACCAUUGAGAAAACAAAGCAAUCUCCUCCUACAUUAGAGAGGAAUCUCUGAGGGGAUUUUCCACUUGCUCCAGAAGGCUCUGAGUUUAGCUACAGGGAAUGGCAACUGGUGUCCUGUGGUUGCCACCCAGAGCCCAGCAGUCACCAGCAGAAAAUGGGAGGUCAACAGGAAGAGGGUUAAAUGCUCAUCUACAUUUUCUCCUGCCACGUACCUCUCAGCUGCCACACAGCCCACAGUCCUGCUCAGCUGUACCUUGGAAGUCAGCUUGUAGCCCAGCUUACGUAGAAACAGGACAGACUGUUGGUCUCAGCCAGCACCGUCACACACCCGGGACUGAGGGAACCAUCCAGUGUUGAACCGUACACACAGGACUAGAGGAGAGAAGGAAAAGACAUCAUCAAGAAGUCACAUGUGGUGGAAGCACAGCCACAAGACGACGUGAUGCCAUCAUGCAUCUACGACGGAUCCAUAAAGCCCUGGGAGCUGAAGGAUUGUCUACCUUUACAUUCAAAGUGGUUUCCCUGUGCUGCAAACUGUAUCUGCACACCACACAGGAACGUGUCUGCUCACCAGAGCUGUGAAGGUGGCCCGAGGAUUACAGAGCAAGCACUGUGUACCCAUACUAUUCAGGCACAGAGAGUGAGAGCUUUCUCCCAAGAUAGAUCCCUGCUGUGAUUUCUUGCAACUGAAAGCUACAUGUUUCUCAAUGUGGAGGACACCAGCAGCUUAACCAUCCUACACAGCACUUGAGAACAUCAGAAUUUUGACUUGGGAUUCAGCUUCAGAGCACUGAGCAGUUUGAGAAGGUUGGAGUUUCCUGAGGAAAAGGAGAUUUUGCUGCUGCACGUGGGUGUAGCUGUAACCUCUGCACAGAAAACUGCAACGCAAGGGAGACGUCACAGCCAGGAGUAACCACAGGCCAGGUCCCAGCAUCUCUAAGAUCAUAUAAAGAACUGUUUAAACAUGAAGAAGACCUCUAAACUCAUUAAUCCAACCAUUAAUCCUGCACUGGCAUGUCCACCACGAAACCAGCACCACAUCUACAUGACUUUUGAGUGUCUCCUGGGAUAGUGACUCCACUCUCUUCCAGUGUCUAACAACCCUUUCAAGGAAGAAAUUUUCCCCAAUUUUUCCUGUUUUCUAUCUAAACCUCCCCUGAAGAACCUGAAGCUGUUUCUUCUCAUCCUGUCACUCAUAACUCAGGAGAAGAGAUUGACUCCUGCCUCACCACAACCUCUUGUCAGGGAGCUGCAGAGAAAGAGAAGGUCUCCCCUCAGCCUCCUCUUCUCCAGGCUGAACACUCGCAUCUUGUGCUCCAGCCCCUUCCCCAGCUCCGCUGCCCAGCUCUGGCCAUGCUCCAGCCCCUCAGUGUCUCUCUGACAUUGAGACACCCAUCACUGAACACAGCCCUUGAGCUGCAGCCUCAUCAGGGCCCAACACAGGAGGACAAUCACUCCCCUGGUCCUGCUGGUCACACUAUUCCUGAUGCCCUUGGACUGGUCACACAAGCCAGGAUGCCACUGGCCUUCUUGGCCACCUACCAACCAACACCUCCAGAUCCUUUCCCUCUGGGCAGCUUUCCAGCCCCUCUGCCCUAACAUUUCAUGGGGUUGGUGUGGCCCAAGUGCAGGACCCAACCCUGAGCCUUGUUGAACCUCACCACACCGCCCUUGGCCCAUUGCUCCAUCCUGGUCAGAUCCCUCUGUAGAGCCUUUCUGCUCUCACACAGAUCAGCUCUCCCACCCAACCUGCUGUCAUCUGCAAACUGACAGAAGGUGCACUCAAUCUCUUCAUCCAGAUCACUGCUAAAGAUGUUAAACAGAACAAGCUCCAACACUGAGCCCUGGGGAGCACUACUGGUGACUGGCCAGUGACUGGGUUUAACUCUACUCACCAGCACUCUUUAUGCUCAGUCAUCUUCAGUGUGUCCCACAGGGGUUCAUCUCAGAAAAUCUGGCCCAUAAAACUCCUUCUCAGAUUUCCCAACUUCUCUGCCCCAGAAUAUUAGAAAUGUGGCACUUGGAAUCUGUUUUCCCAAAACAUUUGGUCUAGUCAAGCCCCUUGAUGCAACAUGCAGGGCAAGCAGAUGCAACAGGGUCACAGACGCUGCUGAGGCAAACGUUUAACGGCUCGUCAGAGGACGAGUGGAUGUUUGUUACUGCCUGCUGCUAGACAGCUCUGUACACUGCUGGUAAUUGCUGUAUCUAGUUUUCUUUUUGUUUGUAUGC